rnacentral:misc_RNA from 1 species
AACGCACAUUGCGCCCCUUGGUAUUCCGGGGGGCAUGCCUGUUCGAGCGUCAUUAUGACCAAUCCAGCCUGGCUGGGUCUUGGGCCUCGCGGUACCGCGGGCCUUAAAAACAGUGGCGGUGCCCUCAGGCUCUACGCGUAGUAACUUUCUCGCUAUAGGGUCCUGGGAGGUGCUUGCCAGCAACCCCCAAUUUUUUAGGUUGACCUCGGAUCAGGUAGGGAUACCCGCUGAACUUAA